UACGUAGGGACCAAGCGUUGUUCGGAUUCACUGGGCGUAAAGGGUGCGUAGGCGGUCGGGUAAGUCUGAUGUGAAAUCUCACAGCUUAACUGUGAAACUGCAUUGGAUACUAUUCGGCUAGAGAGCUGGAGGGGGGACUGGAAUUCUCGGUGUAGCAGUGAAAUGCGUAGAUAUCGAGAGGAACACCAGUGGCGAAGGCGAGUCCCUGGACAACUUCUGACGCUGAGGCACGAAAGCUAGGGGAGCAAACAGG
rnacentral:rRNA from 1 species